rnacentral:rRNA from 1 species
UACGUAGGGGGGCAAGCGUUGUCCGGAUUUAUUGGGCGUAAAGAGCGUGUAGGCGGCCUGGAAGGUCAGCUGUGAAAACUCGAGGCUCAACCUCGAGACGUCGGUUGAAACCACCUGGCUAGAGUCCGGAAGAGGCGAGUGGAAUUCCCGGUGUAGCGGUGAAAUGCGCAGAUAUCGGGAGGAACACCAAUGGCGAAGGCAGCUCGCUGGGACGUGACUGACGCUGAGACGCGAAAGCGUGGGGAGCAAACAGGG